CUGAGAUCCAAAGAGGGCAGUUUCUCGGCUGGUAGAGGCAGAGCUGGAUGCAGAGCCAGGCACAGAGCCAAGGCGCGUCUGACCCCAGUCCAGCGGGAUCUCCUGCAAGCCGCAGUGUUUCCAGAGGCGCACUUCAGUGUGUGGAGUGAAGGGAGAGUCUCCGGACAUGAGAAGAGCUGCUCUGAGCAGUGUGGCGGCCGUUUUUGUUUCCUUUCUCUUUCUCCUCCUGGGGCUAGGCAGACACCGGGCACAAAGAAGGAAACAGGCCUUCUGUGAGUGCAGCAGCAAUCAAUAAAGAAGCAGCCCAGAGCGGCCAUCCCUCUUCUGUCUGCUGUGACGCUCCGGCCCAGGAGCACCAGAGGAGGGGGACUUCAUCUGACUUGUUCAGCACUGUCUCCCAGGCCCUGGCACAGAGGGAGCACUCGAUACACACCGAUGGGCUGAAGGUGUGAAUGGAUCUGGGGACUAGAGUGAUGGUUAUUUGGCAGACAGCAUGCCCCGCCUGGGCAGUAGCCGUGAAGACUCUUCUUUUCCUCUCCUCGCCUGCACUCUUUAGGAUUGAACAGCAUUGGUUCAAUGCAUAUUCUGGGAGCACAGAGAAAAAAGGGAUCAAGUUCCACCAUUAUGCAAAAGGGACUCCUGUAAGCCAGACCCUGAGCCGUUGUCAAAACACAGCUUAAUCCCCAUUCCCUGGGCCCGAGACCCUGCAGCCCCCACGCUGCCCGGCUUCCGGUCUUACCUGGGGCAACCUGACCAACAAGAACGCGGAAGGCCAGGAGCCAAAAACAGAGACUCCUGAUGGGUAACAGAAGGAAAAGAUGAAGGAACAAGGUCCAGUGAUGUCCCCAGAGCAUGUAGCUGGUCAAAGACCAACCCCGGACCAGAAUGGAUGCCUCCUGAUCUCACUUCAGUUCUCAUUCCACUUCACCACACUGCUGGUUGACUGUGGUGUCACGGUGCAUAACCAGAACUAAUUUCUGGCAUUACCUUCCAGGAUCUAGUACAUUAUGGGACACAAAAGGAAUU
rnacentral:lncRNA from 10 species